GGGGAGGUGGCUGAGUGGUCGAAAGCGCUGGUUUGCUAAACCAGUUUACAUUUUUUUGUAACGCGGGUUCGAAUCCCGUCCUUCCCG
rnacentral:tRNA from 1 species